AGAACGAACGCUGGCGGCAUGCCUAAUACAUGCAAGUCGAACGAACUCUUCGGAGUUAGUGGCGCACGGGUGCGUAACGCGUGGGAAUCUGCCCCCUUGGUUCGGAAUAACAGUUGGAAACGACUGCUAAUACCGGAUGAUGACGAAAGUCCAAAGAUUUAUCGCCAAGGGAUGAGCCCGCGUAGGAUUAGCUAGUUGGUGAGGUAAAGGCUCACCAAGGCAACGAUCCUUAGCUGGCUGAGAGGAUGAUCAGCCACACUGGGACUGAGACACGGCCCAGACUACCGUACGGGAGGCAGCAGUAGGGAAUAGUGGACAAGUGGGCGAAAGCCUAGAUCCAGCAAUCGGCCGCGUAGA
rnacentral:rRNA from 1 species